rnacentral:misc_RNA from 1 species
AACUUUUGGCAACGGAUCUCUUGGCUCACGCAUCGAUGAAGAACGCAGCGAAAUGCGAUAAGUAAUGUGAAUUGCAGAAUUCAGGGAAUCAUCGAAUUUUUGAACGCACCUUGCGCUCCCUGGUAUUACGUGGAGCAUGCCUGUUCGAGUGUCGUGAAAUUCUCAAACUGAGAUGCUGUUUUUGUUUCUCGGCUUUGUGUUGGGCUUUGCAGUCCCCUUUGAUUGGGAUGGCUGGCCUCAGAAGCAUUAGCUGGCUUUUCAUGUGGCAUUGGUUCUACUCAGCGUGAUAAUGAUCUGACCGCCGAGGACAUCUUUCGAGAUGGCCAAUUCUCAUUUGGGCUGCUUCUAAUCUUGGUCGAGCAGAUUCUGAAUCUGUUCGACUUUUCAACUUUUGACCUCGAAUCAGGUGGGACUACCCGCUGAACUUAAGCAUAUCAAUAAGCGCAGGCU